rnacentral:rRNA from 1 species
CCCUUAGAUGUUCUGGGCCGCACGCGUGCUACACUGAGUAAUUCAAUGGGUAAGGGAACGCUAGAGCAUUACCUAAUCUUGAAAUUUGCUCGUGAUGGGGAUCGACGGUUGCAAUUUUCCGUCGUGAACGAGGAAUACCUUGUAGGCGCAUGUCAUCAUCAUGCGCCGAAUACGUCCCUGCCCUUUGUACACACCGCCCGUCGCUCCUACUGAUUGAGUGAUCCGGUGAGGCUCUGGGACCUGGACGGAAAGAGCGUUUCGCUUGUUCUGUUUGGGAAACUUGGUCGAACCUUAUCAUUUAGAGGAAGGAGAAGUCGUAACA